rnacentral:rRNA from 1 species
GUGACCCCAGGAGGGCGAGGCCACCC